rnacentral:misc_RNA from 1 species
GCAAUUGAUUUGUCAAUUGGCUUUGUCAAAAACCAAAAUCACACGCGACAAUCCAUCAAAAUACAAAACAACCUUCGGUCUAGGGUUUGCAGAGGACUCAAAAGUAAUCAUAAUCUAACCGAUGGGAGGCCACGGCGCUGUAGAGGCGGCGAAGACGGUCAUUGAGGUGGCCGACGUGGCCUGGAAAGCCAUGGAUUUUACUCACCACCACCAACUCCACAAUCACAACCACGAAAAUCACGAAAGUGACACCAAGCGGGUGUCAAUAGACGAAGAAUUGGAGUCUUUAAGAUCCGAAAAUCAGCGCCUAAAGAACCAGCUUGAGCAGAAUUUGAAACUUCUCCAAAACUUAUCCGAAUCACCUUGCUUGUUAAAUGAUUGCCCCCCUGA